rnacentral:lncRNA from 1 species
AGCGCUAAAUUAACAAUAAACUGACUGAGAGGAGAGGAAAACUGGGAAGUUCAGCAAAGAAGUCACAUGGAGUUAAGUGAGAUUCAUCUUCAAAGUCCACUGGAUUCUAAAAAUCUCAAAGCAAAUGGGAAAGUGUCCCACUGGUUUAGAAAUGGAAUUGGAAGCCUGCAGGAGAAAGCAAGGAUUUUUAUUGGAUACCUGUCACAUGAAAAGCCCAUAUGGCCUGGAGUGUCACACUUCAUUUACCUCAACAAUGCAAACAAGAGCUUGAGAAGAAUCUCACCAUUUGACAGCCCAAAUGGCUCUUUAGCAACAACUUCUAGUUCUCUGGCCAGGCCACAUUAAAUGACAGUUUUAUUGAAAGAAAAAGAAACCAAAAAAUAACAUGGAGU